rnacentral:lncRNA from 1 species
CAAUUUUGAAUUCCCUGUAUUCGAGGCAGAGGAAGAUGAUGUUGAAGGGAUUCCUGAUGAAAUUACCCGCCUUCUUGAGUACAAAAAAGAAGAUCAUUCAGCUGUACCUUGAGAAUCAGCAAAAACAGUCAAACUGGGGCAUUACAAAUGUAAUAAAAAAAAGAGAGAGGGUGAAAAAUAAAAGAAUAAAAAAAAAUCAAAAAAAUCAAAAAGAAAAGAUAAAAGAAAAAGUAUACCCU